rnacentral:rRNA from 1 species
UACAGAGGUCUCAAGCGUUGUUCGGAUUCAUUGGGCGUAAAGGGUGCGUAGGCGGUGUCGCAAGUCAGGUGUGAAAUCUCGGGGCUUAACCCCGAAACUGCAUUUGAUACUGCGGUGCUCGAGGACUGGAGAGGAGACUGGGAUUCACGGUGUAGCAGUGAAAUGCGUAGAUAUCGUGAGGAAGGCCAGUGGCGAAGGCGAGUCUCUGGACAGUUCCUGACGCUGAGGCACGAAGGCCAGGGGAGCAAACGGG